AAUUCGCCCUUAGAGUUUGAUCAUGGCUCAGAUUGAACGCUGGCGGAAUGCUUUACACAUGCAAGUCGAGCGGCAGCGCGGGGCAACCUGGCAGCGAGCGGCGAACGGGUGAGUAAUACAUCGGAACGUGCCCAGACGUGGGGGAUAACUACUCGAAAGAGUAGCUAAUACCGCAUACGAUCUGAGGAUGAAAGCGGGGGAUCGCAAGACCUCGCGCGUCUGGAGCGGCCGAUGGCAGAUUAGGUAGUUGGUGAGGUAAAGGCUUACCAAGCCUGCGAUCUGUAGCUGGUCUGAGAGGAUGAUCAGCCACACUGGGACUGAGACACGGCCCAGACUCCUACGGGAGGCAGCAGUGGGGAAUUUUGGACAAUGGGCGAAAGCCUGAUCCAGCCAUUCCGCGUGCAGGAUGAAGGCCCUCGGGUUGUAAACUGCUUUUGUACGGAACGAAAAAGCUCCGGCUAAUACCUGGAGUCCAUGACGGUACCGUAAGAAUAAGCACCGGCUAACUACGUGCCAGCAGCCGCGGUAAUACGUAGGGUGCAAGCGUUAAUCGGAAUUACUGGGCGUAAAGCGUGCGCAGGCGGUUUUGUAAGACAGAGGUGAAAUCCCCGGGCUCAACCUGGGAACUGCCUUUGUGACUGCAAGGCUGGAGUGCGGCAGAGGGGGAUGGAAUUCCGCGUGUAGCAGUGAAAUGCGUAGAUAUGCGGAGGAACACCGAUGGCGAAGCAAUCCCCUGGGCCUGCACUGACGCUCAUGCACGAAAGCGUGGGGAGCAAACAGGAUUAGAUACCCUGUAGUCCACGCCCUAAACGAUGUCAACUGGUUGUUGGGAAUUCAUUUUCUCAGUAACGAAGCUAACGCGUG
rnacentral:rRNA from 1 species